AUGAAGAUUCACCUCAGUCACAAGUCCUUGAAGGAGUUCCGAACUCUUCUGUACUACAACACGUCCACGACCACGUUUGAGGAGAGAUGGCACGCGUUUUUCAAAAGAUGGCAGCCGGAAAAAACAGUAACAUGGUUGAGACGGAUGUAUAAGAAGAGGAGUCUGUGGGCCGCGGCUUACCUAACAGAGGGUUUUUGGCUUGGCAUGAAAAGCAACCAGAGGAGUGAAAGUCUAAACUCAUGCCUUCACCUCCACCUAGACGGUGAAAUGACCCUGGUGGAUAUGAUUUUGCACUAUGAGAACACCGUUGUACGUAUCCGUGAGAAUGAGGCACGAGAUGAUUGCACGGCCUCACAGAGUUUACCGGUGCCAGUUACUAGCUCGAGGGAACUUGAGAUAGCUGCUUCUCACGUCUUCACUCCAGCAAACUUCUAUAUGUUGCAAGCUGAUCUUAGGAAAAUUGGUGGCAUGGAGAUUGUAGAAAUAAAGCUCGGAGACGGAUCACAGCAGUACAUCGUGGCCUGGAAGAAUAACCGGAAGAGCCGUUUUUGGGUGGAGUACACUCCAGUAAAUUCCGCAGAAACUAUAAGGUGCAGCUGCAGAAGAAUGAUUCGAAAGGGUCUACCUUGCAAGCACAUAUUCCAUGUACUGAAGUACUUGAAUAUAUCUGAAAUACCAAAGUGUUUAGUUCUUGUGCGGUUCACGAAAGACGCAAGGUUGGGACUGCCCGCCAGGCGCACAAGCGAUCUGUUGGGAUUUGGAUGGACUGGAGCAGCCGAAAGAAUGAAAUAUAGCCAGGUCAGUGUGUUGGCUUCAGAAGCUAUGCAUGCAGCAUGCAAACACCCAACUUUGUGGGAUCAGUUACAGGAGAGUUUGAAGACCGUGAUAGCUAAGAGCCAUGAGUAUGAUCAGCUAAAGGAAAAUUUGAGUAAGAAAACGGCUGAUCUUAGUACUUGUGCAAUUGAAUAUGUAGAUGAUGGUGAAGGAAACAUAGUUGAAGUUCAUGAUCCUAUUAAAGUAUCAACGAAAGGUGCAACUAAGGUAGAUGAGAACCGCCCUAUGUCGAAAAAUGGUAGGCCACUUUCGUACGACGAGAUCGGAAUCAGGUGCGGCGCAUGCAAAUUGCUAGGGCACACUAAACGCAACAAGAAAUGCUAA
rnacentral:rRNA from 1 species